AAGUUCAGAGACGAUUAUAAUCUAUUCAAUACAGGUUUAAUGAAGCUCCCGUUUGAUCUCCCCGGUUUCGCGUUCCGAAACGCCAGGCUGGCCGUUGAGCGAUUAAUCGAAACCCUUAGGGCACGUUUGGUUCGCUGUAUUGGAUUAGAGGCGUAUUGGAUUAGAGGUGUAUUGGGAUUAGAGGUGUAUUGGAUUAGAGGUGUAAUAGCUAAUCCACUGUUUGGUUGAAUGUAAUGGAAUAGAGGCGUAAUAGUAAUCUUGUGUUUGGUUGAAUGGAAUAGAGGUGUAAUAGCAUAAUAGAAAAAACUAAAAUGACUAGAAUACCCUUAGCAUAAAUUUGUUUUGGUAAAUGAUUAUUGUUAUUGUUAUUUAAAUUAUAAUAAGAUUUUUAUUAUCAAUAAUAAAUAAUUUAAUCAUAUUUAAACAUAAUUAUUAUUAAAUAUAUUUUAAUUACAAUAUAUAAUUUAAUAAAAUUCUUAAUAAUUAAUAUUCUUAUAUUAAUUUACUGAAAUCAUAAUAUAUGAUACUGUAAAAUAUAAAUUAACAUAAUUAUUAUUAAAUAUAUUUUAAUUAAACUAUAUAAUUUAAAAAAAUUCUUAAUAAUUAAUAUUCUUAUAUUAUUUACUCAAAUCAUAAUAUAUGAUACUGUAAAAUAUAAAUUAACAUAUUAUUAUUAUAUUAAUUAAACUAUAUAAUUAAAAAAAUCUUAAUAAUUAAUAUUCUUAUAUUCAUUACUCCAACUCAUAAUAUAUGAUACUGUAAAAUAUAAUCUACCUACUUAUUAUUUACAUAUAUUUAAUUCAACUAUAUAAUUUAAAAAAAUCUUAAUAAUUAAUGCCUUUAUAUAAUUACUCAAAUCAUAUAUAUGAUACUGUUGAUGCUAGUUUUGAAUAGAUGGUAUAAUAGACGUACAUUUACAUUUAUAUUAGAGGCACUAUCUUAAAUGAUAUACAAAAUGUAUAAGUGGCCUCAACAUUGAUGCUAGUUUCUUUCACUUCAAAUUUACAUCAUGUAAAAUAUAUGCGCUGAACCAGAGUAACAUAAUCCAUGAAGUUUGCAAGAACAACACAGGAUUCCAAAACCAAAACCAGCAGAUUACUUAUCAAACUGUUUGCAGCUCAAUUUUCCCAGGCAGAUGCCAAUUGUAAUAGAAGUUGAUCAGGUACUGCGCCUUCCCAAUUCUCUGGUGGAUCCAUCGUGGAAGCUGCUUCAUGUAAAUUCAACAGAAGCUCUUUCUUCAACUCCAUCGUUAUACCCAAUGCAUCAUGUCCGUUUUCUAUCACCACUUUGACCAGCUGAAUAAUUACAGGAAAUUUUUUUUUAAUAGUAAACUUAUAAAAGAAAAUGUCUAAAUAGAGCAGCUUGAAGUAAAUGGCUCAAAGAUGAAGAACCCAUACCUGUUGAAUCCAGGAUAGACAAAUAUCAAACAAAUCUUGCUCCAUAAGAAAUUGCACAAUAGCGUGCAAGGCUUCAUUUGCUAUCUCAUUUGACAGUUGAUCAACCAUAGGGCCUGAUCUAUCCAUCAGCUUUAUAAGCAAGAGAUCAUCCCCUGUAGAGAGAACUUCUGCAUAGGCAGAGUCCAUAUCACCUACUUGAAGGGCAUGCAUUGCAUUGCUCCAAGAAGUCCAGACAUUGCAUUGCAUUGCAUUGCAGGGCAGAGUCCCCUUGUUUCGAGUUUCUGAAAGAAUUCAGGAUUCAACUCUCUGUCUGUUAAUGCAGGUGAUUUCUUAUUUAAAAUUACAACUGCUUUGUCAAUAAUGCUUCCACCUUUGCCUUCAGAAACAGAAUCUGAAGUCUGUGUUUUUUUAUCACCCGCACUUGGAUCUUUGGAGCCAUUCUUUUCUGAUGAUUCAGCUGACUGAGCAUUGUCACCAUCUACAGCAUUGAAACAAGUUUAAUCCAAUAAGAUGAAUGACCUACACAUCAGAAGGACAACCCGUAACACUUAACUGACACACUUACCAUGAGACAAGGCUUUCAGGUCAUCUGCAGCUCCAUCUUCCCCUUUUCCUGCAAUCUUCUUCCAUAAUUGCAAUGCUUCUGUCAUGCUAUCUCUCACAGGUUUCAUCUGGUUGACCAAUGAUUAAACGUUACAAUAGAAUAAAAUUUCCAUGAGGCAGUGUUGAGUAAUGUAAAUCUGUCAUAUCUGCACCAUUAGAAGAGAUGAUAGUGAAAGGACUUCAAUCCUAACCUUGCUUAAUCAUAAUGUGCUAGCUGAAAGUCCCUUGAAAACCAAUUUAGAAAGCAUGGAUGCAUACAGUCCAAACCCACAUUUUCUAUUAGUCUAAAUUCUGUCACACAAUUAACCCUAGGAUUUCUAAUUAUAUCAAGUUCCUACAAAAAAAAGGAAAUCUAUGUGGAGGAUAUACAUGUUUUCCCGAAGCAAAGUGACCAGAUCAACACAUGUAAUGAAGAAAAGAAAGUACAUGGUCUGGCACCAGUCAUGUCCAAAAUAUGUAUCAAAAUUUCACAAUGAAAUCAUACACAAGUCAUUGAUGUAAAAGUAAUAUACAUAUAUAUAAGUAUGUAUGCAUGCAUGCAAGAAAAAUGACUCCAAAAAGCUACCCUAUCAAAGCGACAACCCUCAAGUAUGGUUAUUGUCGAAGAUGCUCUAUCUGCAAUCAAGUUGCUUGAAUGCAGUGCCAAUGCACUUAAAGAAUCUGCAGCUGCCUUUCUCGUCGCCCAAUCUGUGCUCCCAAGGCAUUCGUGGAUGCUUAGCUGCAAUGCUUCCAAGCUCUGAGGUGCAAUUGCUCCCACCUACAUGGUCAUCAUAAAUUUACAGAACUUCAAUUUUCUUUUCCUAUUUUUUGACCAAAAAAACAAAUUGUUCUUAUUUGUGGAAUUUUCCAUAUCUAUUCCCCACCUAGCUACCUAAUUCACAUGAUCAAAUAAAACAAGAUCUACAAUACCAGCCAAAAAAAACAAGCACAAAGUAAACAAUAAAGAAACUACAAGAUAUUCAUUUACGAUGAUACUUGACAUCCACAAAACCAACAACAUAAAUCAUCAAUAUCCUUAUGAAUCAAACACAAAACAACUGCAAUACACAAACCUGUGACAAACUUGCCACUACUGGCAAAAGGGAAGCCUUGGCCAUAAAAUUCUGGUUAUUCAACAGCUUGCAGAUCCUUGGACACAGUUUCUGAAAAGCAGGCAAAGGAGGAUCAGAUGCACAUUCCACCAUCUUAGCCAUACACGUCGAUGCACCAGAUUGUACCCCUUUGUUCUGCUCCCCCAUUGAUAUUUAAAUUACAACAGAACAAACAACAGAAAUCGAAGAUUAGCAGAGAAGAGAGAACAACUUCGAACGGCAUGUAUUUCUUAAGCCUAACCAACAACAGAAAACACAUUUCAAUUCAACAUGCAAUACAAACAGAAUAAAAUUGGCUAAAACUAACCUAUUAGCAAAUCGGGGCACAAUGAAAAACCUGAAAAAAGCAAAAGGGGAAACCGAUUAGAUAAAAACAAUAGAUCAUAUUUACCUCGAAAGUAUUGGUUUUCAUCUACAAUAGCAAAGGAUAUUAAUCUAUCGGGAAACAUAGACUAACCGAUGACGCAAAUCGGCAGAAACUGUGAGCAAAUCGGCCGAAAUAGAAAAGAAAAUAAUCGGGGGAGCAAAUCGGCAGAAAAGGGAAGAAAAUAAUACUGGGAAAAAGCAAUGAAACAAGGAAGCAAUUCGGAUGAAGGUGGGAAACGGAAGAGAAACAGAGGGGAUCGAUUAGGGGUAAAAGAGGGAAGGUUUAGGGUAGGGUCAUCUAAUCUGAGAAUAAGGGGGGGAGUAGAAAUCGGUGUUUUUCACCGAUUAGGGAAGUAAGGGGAUAGACGCGUAUUAGCAAUACGCUCAACCAAACGGCGUCUUAGAUUGGUAUUAGGUGGGCCCCACCGAUUAGGGGUGUAUUGGCUUAGCCAAUACACCAAACCAAACAAGCUCUUAGUGAUUGUGCUACUCAAAGUAAAAAGAGGAUGUCUGAAGGAGACGAGCCUUCUUGUUUAAUAGAUUUUUAGAUGCAAGAAACUGUUAGAGAAAUAGCGGAGUCCAAAACGGUGCCACCUCACUCUAGCGACGUAGAAAUCGGCAGUUACCUCUUUGAUUUUCUCUUUGCCGCUCAAGACGCCUCCACUUCGUCGCUUCUCAAAUUCUUAAUAAUUAAUGUUCUUAUAUUAAUUUACUCAAAUCAUAAUAUAUGAUACUGUUGAUGCUAGUUUUGCAUAGAUGGUAUAAUAGACGUACAUUUACAUUUAUAUUAGAGGCCACUAUCUUACAUGAUAUACAAAAAUGUAUAAGUGGCCUCAACCAUUGAUGCUAGUUUUCUUUCACUUCAAAUUUACAUCAUGUAAAAUAUAUGCGCCGAACCAGAGUAACAUAAUCAUGAAGUUUGCAAUAACAACACAGGAUUCCAAAACCAAAACCAGCAGAUUUACUUAUCAAACUGUUGCAGCUCAAUUUUCCAGGCAGAUGCCAAUUGUAAUAGAAGUUGAUCAGGUACUGCGCCUUCCCAAUUCUCUGGUGGAUCCAUCGUGGAAGCUGCUUCAUGUAAAUUCAACAGAAGCUCUUUCUUCAACUCCAUCGUUAUACCCAAUGCAUCAUGUCCGUUUUCUAUCACCACUUUGACCAGCUGAAUAAUUACAGGAAUUUUUUUUUUAAUAGUAAACUUAUAAAAGAAAAUGUCUAAAUAGAGCAGCUUGAAGUAAAUGGCUCAAAGAUGAAGAACCCAUACCUGUUGAAUCCAGGAUAGACAAAUAUCAAACAAAUCUUGCUCCAUAAGAAAUUGCACAAUAGCGUGCAAGGCUUCAUUUGCUAUCUCAUUUGACAGUUGAUCAACCAUAGGGCCUGAUCUAUCCAUCAGCUUUAUAAGCAAGAGAUCAUCCCCUGUAGAGAGAACUUCUGCAUAGGCAGAGUCCAUAUCACCUACUUGAAGGGCAUGCAUUGCAUUGCUCCAAGAAGUCCAGACAUUGCAUUGCAUUGCAUUGCAGGGCAGAGUCCCCUUGUUUCGAGUUUCUGAAAGAAUUCAGGAUUCAACUCUCUGUCUGUUAAUGCAGGUGAUUUCUUAUUUAAAAUUACAACUGCUUUGUCAAUAAUGCUUCCACCUUUGCCUUCAGAAACAGAAUCUGAAGUCUGUGUUUUUUUAUCACCCGCACUUGGAUCUUUGGAGCCAUUCUUUUCUGAUGAUUCAGCUGACUGAGCAUUGUCACCAUCUACAGCAUUGAAACAAGUUUAAUCCAAUAAGAUGAAUGACCUACACAUCAGAAGGACAACCCGUAACACUUAACUGACACACUUACCAUGAGACAAGGCUUUCAGGUCAUCUGCAGCUCCAUCUUCCCCUUUUCCUGCAAUCUUCUUCCAUAAUUGCAAUGCUUCUGUCAUGCUAUCUCUCACAGGUUUCAUCUGGUUGACCAAUGAUUAAACGUUACAAUAGAAUAAAAUUUCCAUGAGGCAGUGUUGAGUAAUGUAAAUCUGUCAUAUCUGCACCAUUAGAAGAGAUGAUAGUGAAAGGACUUCAAUCCUAACCUUGCUUAAUCAUAAUGUGCUAGCUGAAAGUCCCUUGAAAACCAAUUUAGAAAGCAUGGAUGCAUACAGUCCAAACCCACAUUUUCUAUUAGUCUAAAUUCUGUCACACAAUUAACCCUAGGAUUUCUAAUUAUAUCAAGUUCCUACAAAAAAAAGGAAAUCUAUGUGGAGGAUAUACAUGUUUUCCCGAAGCAAAGUGACCAGAUCAACACAUGUAAUGAAGAAAAGAAAGUACAUGGUCUGGCACCAGUCAUGUCCAAAAUAUGUAUCAAAAUUUCACAAUGAAAUCAUACACAAGUCAUUGAUGUAAAAGUAAUAUACAUAUAUAUAAGUAUGUAUGCAUGCAUGCAAGAAAAAUGACUCCAAAAAGCUACCCUAUCAAAGCGACAACCCUCAAGUAUGGUUAUUGUCGAAGAUGCUCUAUCUGCAAUCAAGUUGCUUGAAUGCAGUGCCAAUGCACUUAAAGAAUCUGCAGCUGCCUUUCUCGUCGCCCAAUCUGUGCUCCCAAGGCAUUCGUGGAUGCUUAGCUGCAAUGCUUCCAAGCUCUGAGGUGCAAUUGCUCCCACCUACAUGGUCAUCAUAAAUUUACAGAACUUCAAUUUUCUUUUCCUAUUUUUUGACCAAAAAAACAAAUUGUUCCUAUUUGUGGAAUUUUCCAUAUCUAUUCCCCACCUAGCUACCUAAUUCACAUGAUCAAAUAAAACAAGAUCUACAAUACCAGCCAAAAAAAACAAGCACAAAGUAAACAAUAAAGAAACUACAAGAUAUUCAUUUACGAUGAUACUUGACAUCCACAAAACCAACAACAUAAAUCAUCAAUAUCCUUAUGAAUCAAACACAAAACAACUGCAAUACACAAACCUGUGACAAACUUGCCACUACUGGCAAAAGGGAAGCCUUGGCCAUAAAAUUCUGGUUAUUCAACAGCUUGCAGAUCCUUGGACACAGUUUCUGAAAAGCAGGCAAAGGAGGAUCAGAUGCACAUUCCACCAUCUUAGCCAUACACGUCGAUGCACCAGAUUGUACCCCUUUGUUCUGCUCCCCCAUUGCUAUUUAAAUUACAACAGAACAAACAACAGAAAUCGAAGAUUAGCAGAGAAGAGAGAACAACUUCGAACGGCAUGCAUUUCUUAAGCCUAACCAACAACAGAAAACACAUUUCAAUUCAACAUGCAAUACAAACAGAAUAAAAUUGGCUAAAACUAACCUAUUAGCAAAUCGGGGCACAAUGAAGAACCUGAAAAAAGCAAAAGGGGAAACCGAUUAGAUAAAAACAAUAGAUCAUAUUUACCUCGAAAGUAUUGGUUUUCAUCUACAAUAGCAAAGGAUAUUAAUCUAUCGGGAAACAUAGACUAACCGAUGACGCAAAUCGGCAGAAACUGUGAGCAAAUCGGCCGAAAUAGAAAAGAAAAUAAUCGGGGGAGCAAAUCGGCAGAAAAGGGAAGAAAAUAAUACUGGGAAAAAGCAAUGAAACAAGGAAGCAAUUCGGAUGAAGGUGGGAAACGGAAGAGAAACAGAGGGGAUCGAUUAGGGGUAAAAGAGGGAAGGUUUAGGGUAGGGUCAUCUAAUCUGAGAAUAAGGGGGGGAGUAGAAAUCGGUGUUUUUCACCGAUUAGGGAAGUAAGGGGAUAGACGCGUAUUAGCAAUACGCUCAACCAAACGGCGUCUUAGAUUGGUAUUAGGUGGGCCCCACCGAUUAGGGGUGUAUUGGCUUAGCCAAUACACCAAACCAAACAAGCUCUUAGUGAUUGUGCUACUCAAAGUAAAAAGAGGAUGUCUGAAGGAGACGAGCCUUCUUGUUUAAUAGAUUUUUAGAUGCAAGAAACUGUUAGAGAAAUAGCGGAGUCCAAAACGGUGCCACCUCACUCUAGCGACGUAGAAAUCGGCAGUUACCUCUUUGAUUUUCUCUUUGCCGCUCAAGACGCCUCCACUUCGUCGCUUCUCUGGACAGUGACCCUCCUCGACUCUCAUCCCGAUGUUCUCCGGAGAGUUCGGGAGGAAGUGUCAAGGAUUUGGUCGCCGGAGUCGGAUACUUUAAUAAG
rnacentral:lncRNA from 1 species